CUCUCCUCUAUAUGUCGUCUUCUCCCACUCUACUAUAUUUUCCCUUAUCCUUACUGUGAGAGGAUGAGUGAAUUGUGGCGGCAGUGGCUGGCCAAGCCGAACGGCGGCGGUAGCCUACCAGCUUCUUCCUACCUGUGAUGAGCCUACUGCUGCAAGGAUUGAUGUCGUGCAUCACCAGAUUGGAUCUGCACCGCCCCCAUCUGGCGCCGGAAGCCCUGCCCACGAUCCAAAUCAUUCAGUACCCUCCUAUGCUCCCCAACAUUUCUAUUGCUAAUUUGUAGGGACUGCCAUGGAUCCCGUGAAUUUUUGCUAUGUCUCCAUUUUUUCCCCCAUAGUUAGUUGUAGCGACGUAGUAGUGGCGCAGGCACCCGUGCUAUUAAUAGUUGUUUAACCCACGUUACUACUAGGCUUUUUCCUAGUAGUGAAGUGCUUGCAUUUUCCUAAAUUUAUUUUAAACUUUUCAGUGUUGUUUAUUCAGUGAGAGGAGACAUUCUCCUCAACUACGAGACGUCUUUGAUGACUCAAAAUAUUGUGCCAACUGAGUGUCUUGGAGAUACUCAUAGAAAUAGCGUGUGUGUGCGCACGCGCGCAUUCAUAGAAAUGAACGUAUAUGCAUGUACAUGAGCAUUUGUGUUAAAGAAAAACACACAGCAGGGGCGGAGCUAAGUGGUGGCCAGCAGGGGCAAUGGCCCCAAGGUUGGUUAAAAAUGUGAAAUAUAUAGCAUUUGCCCCCUCCUCUCACACACACAGAGAGAUCCUACCAUCACCAGUGAGGCCUAAGCUGUAGCAUGAUUAAAGACGUUAUGUGAUAUUUUACUAGUUUCUUAUCUCUAUUUACGCAAGCAGGUGAUAGUAGUCACCAACGUCAUCACGACACAAUCCAUGCCCACCAUGGUGAAGGACAAUCUGUCACACGCCACUACUAUAUGAAAAUGGCAUCCCAUAGCAACGCAUCAGCAUUUACCUAGUUAAACACGUGGGUGUCUCUAGAAGACAUGCCUUCUUAUCUAUAAAUGAGCACGAGUUGAUAGGCUAGUCAUAGUGGGAUUAAUUUUUCGGCCUCCUCUAACGACUACCUAGAGAUUAGGGUUUAUUUUCUUCCGUUGACAUUGCUAUCUGUCCGCCUCGUCUUCGGUGACCUUAGGCGAUGGAGGCGUGGUGGACCCCAGGCCUUGCCGAAGGAACGUUCAUGCUCCGUUUCUAGGUAUGUUUCUAGGGUUCAUUAGAGUUCCUGCUCAGGAAGGUGAGAUGUCAGUGGCUCCCUCAAGAAGGAAUUAAUAGGUUCCAUCCCGCCUAGUCUUCAUCCCAGUGGUACGUCUAACAUCGACGGAGGGCGUGUGGAGGUUGGAUUAUUUUGAUGUACGCCUCUCUUCAAUGGCGGCGGAUGUUGUUCUGGUGCACUAGUCUUGUGGGGCUUUAGUACGACGACUUCCCGACUCUCUACUAUAAUAAGUUUCUCCCGGCUCCGGCAAAGGAAGGGCGGUGACAGUGGCGUGCCUUGGGCUCGCUCUAGUGGUUGUAAUCGUCGCUAGAUGAUCAACGGGCCUAUAUGUAUUUUUUAUUAUUUCUAUUUUUAUACUGUCAUGACAGUUCAUGAAUAGAUCGGAAGUUUUCUUCAACAAA